CCCUAUGGGGUGCAGCAGGCGAGAAAACUUUGCAAUGUGCGAAAGCACGACAAGGUUAAUCCGAGUGAUUUCUGCUAAAGGAAUCUUAUGUUAGUCAUAAAACCACUAUUGAAUAAGGGGUGGGCAAGUUCUGGUGUCAGCCGCCGCGGUAAAACCAGCACCUCAAGUGGUCAGGAGGAUUAUUGGGCCUAAAGCAUCCGUAGCCUGUUCUGUUAGUUUUCGGUUAAAUCUAUGCGCUCAACGCAUAGGCUGCCAAAAAUACUGCAGAGCUAGGGAGUGGGAGAGGUAGACGGUACUCGGUAGGAAGGGGUAAAAUCUUUUGAUCUAUCGAUGACCACCUGUGGCGAAGGCGGUCUGCCAGAACACGUUCGACGGUGAGGGAUGAAAGCUGGGGGAGCAAACCGGAUUAGAUACCCGGGUAGUCCCAGCUGUAAACGAUGCAGACUCGAUGAUGCAUUAGCAUAUAGCUAGUGCAGUGUCGCAGGGAAGCCGUUAAGUCUGCCGCCUGGGAAGUACGUACGCAAGUAUGAAACUUAAAGGAAUUGGCGGGGGAGCACCACAAGGGGUGAAGCCUGCGGUUCAAUUGGAGUCAACGCCAGAAAUCUUACCCGGAGAGACAGCAGAAUGAAGGUCAGGCUGAAGACCUUACCAGACAGGCUGAGAGGUAGUGCAUGGCC
rnacentral:rRNA from 1 species